rnacentral:rRNA from 1 species
UACAGAGACUGCAAGCGUUAUUCGGAUUCACUGGGCGUAAAGGGUGCGCAGGCGGCCGUGUGUGUGAGGCGUGAAAGCCCGAUGCUUAACAUCGGAAUUGCACCUCAAACUACACGGCUAGAGCAUUGGAGAGGGUAGCGGAAUUCACGGUGUAGCAGUGAAAUGCGUAGAUAUCUGGAGGAACACCGGUGGCGAAGGCGGCAUCCUGGACCAAUUCUGACGCUGAGGAGCGAAAGCCAGGGGAGCAAACGGG